rnacentral:rRNA from 1 species
AUUGAACGCUGGCGGCAGGCCUAACACAUGCAAGUCGAACGAGUGGCGGACGGGUUAGUAAUGUCUGGGAAACUGACCGAUGGAGGGGGAUCACUACUGGAAACGGUAGCUAAUACCGCAUACAUUCGGAUGUGCCCAGAUGGGAUGAGCUCGUAGGUGGGGGAAAGGCGCACCAAGACGACGAUCCCUAGCUGGUCUGAGAGGAUGACCAGCCACACUGGAACUGAGAUACGGUCCAGACUCCGACGGGAGUCAGCAGGGGGGAAUAUUGCACAAUGGGCGAAAGCCUGAUGCAGCCAUGCCGCGUGUAUGAAGAAGGCCUUCGGGUUGUAAAGUACUUUAAGCGAGGAGGCGUUACUCGCAGAAGAAGCACCGGCUAACGCCGUGCCAGCAGCCGCGGUAAUAC